rnacentral:rRNA from 1 species
AUUGAACGCUGGCGGCAGGCCUAACACAUGCAAGUCGAGCGGAUGAAGGGAGCUUGCUCCUGGAUUCAGCGGCGGACGGGUGAGUAAUGCCUAGGAAUCUGCCUGGUAGUGGGGGAUAACGUCCGGAAACGGGCGCUAAUACCGCAUACGUCCUGAGGGAGAAAGUGGGGGAUCUUCGGACCUCACGCUAUCAGAUGAGCCUAGGUCGGAUUAGCUAGUGGGUAGGGUAAAGGCCUACCAAGGCGACGAUCCGUAACUGGCCUGAGAGGAUGAUCAGUCACACUGGAACUGAGACACGGUCCAGACUCCUACGGGAGGCAGCAGUGGGGAAUAUUGGACAAUGGGCGAAAGCCUGAUCCAGCCAUGCCGCGUGUGUGAAGAAGGUCUUCGGAUUGUAAAGCACUUUAAGUUGGGAGGAAGGGCAGUAAGUUAAUACCUUGCUGUUUUGACGUUACCAACAGAAUAAGCACCGGCUAACUUCAUG